rnacentral:misc_RNA from 1 species
AACCUUAUGGACCUGCGGGCGUAUACCUGCGGAAGGAUCAUUAUCGAGUUUUGAAAUAUGGGGUUGAAGCUGGCCUUACGAGGCAUGUGCUCGCCCCUGCUCAUCCACUCUACACCUGUGCACUUACUGUAGGCUUCAGGAGCUUCUCGGGCUUUCAUUAGCUCGGGUUGUAACUGAGCUUACGUUUACUACAAACAUCAUACAGUAUCAGAAUGUGUAUUGCGAUAAACGCAUCUAUAU